GGUUUUGUUGCAGAUGGACAAGGGACUUGGGUUAACACGAAGCAGGAUGUGAGUUGUCAGACAUGGAGAAGCAGGUAGUGAGUGUCAGGGCACGAGAGGAUGAGACUGGCCCAUGCGCAGAGCAGUACACAGGUCUCAGGCCGGGAGGCUCUGGAGCAAGGGCCACCUGCAGACACUUUUGGAGCCUUCAAAUGUGAUUCUUCGGGGUAGGCAGUGGCACAUGAUAGGAUGGUGACGGGUACAAGGACUUGUGUUCUGGUUGGAGACCAGCUGAGAAUCUGUGCAGGCAGUGUCAAGGGCACACAGGGGUGACUGCAAACGCAGUGUGUACCCACAGGAGUGUGCAGCCCGGCAGGUGCAGCCCGGCAUGGUUCCAGGCAGUCACUGUUUUUUUCCACAUCCUGAGAUCGUGCCAUUGUCCUGGCCCCAGGUGUAGAAACUGGAGAGUUCCUAGCCGUGGUCCUUGGUGUCUUUACAGGGCUACAGUGCACAGUCUGUCAAAAGAGGAAACUGAGGUACUAUUUCGUAAAGAGCCUGGUAGGAGAAGAUGCCCCGGGGUUACUGUAACGCCAGAUGCAAGUGUUCACAGACUGCAUUGGCUCCUAAACUGGGGUGCUGUCCUUUGUCUUUGAAAUGGGUGAAUGUGUGUAGGAGAGGUCUAUGGACAGCCAUUUAAAUCUCUGCUCUGUAGGUGCGGAUUAGGGGAAGUCGUGGGAGGAAGAGGAGAUUCGGAGUUUGCAGUGACUACAACUUUCCUGCAGGUCAUUGCUACACAGGGAAGUGAAGGAGAGAUAAGGAUUCCACAGGUUAAGACAGACAGAGGCCUGAUCCUUCAUCUCUGUGAGAAAGGGGCAGGGAAGAAACAGACUCAACACUGGGACAGGAAGCCAGGAUUUACGCAGGGUCAGACAGGCCACAGGGCGCUGGAGAGGCCCAUGCACACAGCUUCUAGGUAGUGCCACUGAUUUUACUUUGAUGGUUUAUUUAUUUAUAUUUUAUUAUAUUUUGAGACAAGAUCUUGUCAUGUAGCCCAGGUCAGUCUUGAGUUGAUGCCUACAUGGUAAGAGCACCUUUGCAAGAGAUGAUGUUCUGAGACAGUCCACACCGGGACGGUAGAAGACUGUCCGCCUCCUGUGGUGCUGUCUAUCCUGAGGUCCUCCUGACCCCUGUCCCCUGUUCCUCUGGUGCCUCUUAUUCUCUUUGACUUUAAGAAAAGCAGGGUGAAUAGUAAGAGUGGACACAGAUGGCUUUGUGUCCACAGAUGGAGUAACUUUUGCCACCGUUCAGCCAUGACAAGUUCUUACGUUCCAGGGUAGGGUGUGUAGAUUAGGAAUGUUAGGUAGGAGGAACACGGAUGUGAAAGAAAUACAGAGACAUAGGAUAGUACUGGGAGGGCAACUCGGUGAAUAGUGAAUAUUGAAUUCGCCUGUGUUUAAUUUUCAUACACUUUUAUACCCCUAUACAGAAGUGGGGGAAGAAAGCAAAAGACAGCUUUACCAUGACACAAAGGACAACCAGAACAGUUGCUUGCUUCAGUACUUGAGACAUCAAGCCAUUAUUUCCUGAGUAAAGCAUUUAGCGGCAGGAAUAUGCAGUGAACACACCUUAGACCAAGUAUCCUGUAGGCAGCCACUCACAAUAUCAAAUCCUCCUAUUUUAAAAGAAGGAGCAAAGAAUAGGCUUGAAUUCUCUGACCUUUGGUCAGAGUGGAGCAGAUCCACCUCUAUGGGCCAUCUUGGUGUCCAAAACACCAAGCAACCACACCUGACGUCAACAGCUUUGAAAGAGCAAACAUAAGCUCAAACUCUCUGACCUCCAGUCAAGGUGGAACAGGCUCACAUCUGUGGGCCUGCAUGUGAGUGUGUGAAUGCGUGUGGGCGUGUGAAUGUAUGUGUAUGUGUGCAUGCCUGAGAGUGUGUGAGGGGAUAGGACUCACCAGCAGACCAGAGCACAGGGUCAGAGAGCUUCCAGGUGAGGUGGGGCCAGAGGAUGCUUCAGCCGGACUCCUGUCAGCCUUCACAGCUGGAACAACAAUCCUGGUGGCGCUCGCUCACCGAGGAGCCAAGAGCAGCCUCUUUAGGAGUGCUGCCUUGGCAUACCCUGGAAAGCUGUGGAAUACACAAGUCCAGGCCUCAGACAACAGAGGUUCAUGACUGCCUGGCUCCUGGCUGACCACAGUUCCUUCUGCUCGCCUCUUAACGACAGGGGGCUGGGGCUGAGGCUGGGACUGAGCACAUGGCUGGAAGUUACGGAGAAAAACACGUGCCUGAAGAACCACUGUGAGCGGCCGGCGUGAGCUGGGGUCCCUGGAGCCUUCUGAACUGGGGGCCGUGAAAGGCUCCCCUGGACUUUACCAGUUUGGAUGUCAGUUUUGCCAGUUCCUUGUCAUGUGACAUGGAACUUUCCUGAAAGUGGGGUUGGGGUGCAGUUUGUAUGUAUAAAUGGAGAGCUACAAUACCCACUAACUAAAUCACAUCAUUAUUGCUAUUAUUCUAUUUCAAGUGGAAGCAGAGGGUUGCAAAGUUCAAUCUGAGGCCAGAUAAGCCACUGGAUGGAAAAUGAGUGUGGGGUCAUGGGACCUGGGCAGGGCCCCAGUGUGAGAAAAACAGGUCCCGGGGUAGCAGAUCCAGCCCAGGUCUCAGCCUCCACCCUGUGUGCGGCAACCGAGAAGCCCCUUUGCUUUUCUCUUCCUUUCUUCCCUCUUUACUUUUAUUAGCCUUUUUCAUGGUUGGGGACUGAAUAACCUAGGACACGGCACAUGGCCUCUGCCACAUUAGCUCUUUCCAUUUUUAUUCAUUUUUAUUUUUUAGACAGAGUCUUUUACUAACUCUCCCAAGUCAGUCUUGAACUAGUAAUCUUCCUGAUUCAGUCUCCCUAUGAGCUUGGAUUACAGGCCUGGCUAACAAUCUAAGUUUUCAACAACAACAACAAAAAUCCUUCCACGAUCAAGGUUAGGCUUGGCAUGUUCAAAAGUCCUUUUGCGAUCACCCAGAAGUUUCUCCCCUUCUUUUCCAAGCUAGUGGCCAUCUGCCUGCAAACAGGUAGACACCAUGGGAACAGAAGGCCCAUAGAAACAGGCAGAGUGGCAGUUGGGCUCCCCUGGCUAGCCCUGUCAGUAGCAUGUCGUCUCACUGAACUUCCCCUUCACGCUCAGCAGAUGGCGACCGUGUGCUAGUGCUGCUGAUUCCCUGAUGCCACGGAAUUGCUUGCAAGGUAUCACCGCAGGUGCUUUCCUUCAGCUGGAUGUCGGAGCUUGGUGCUGGUCCCUGGACAAAGAGAUGCUGGGGAGGUAGCAUCUCCCUACCUUGGGCUCCUCACUCUUCAUCUCUGCACCUGCAUGGAAGGUGUCUGAAGUUCCAGGAGGAGACGAGCCUGGAGAAAGAAGACCCCAAGAAUGGACACAGUUCCCUUCUCCCUCUCAAGGUUUUCCUUCUGCAAGAACCUAAAUCAGGGUCUUCCAGCGUGUUUAUUGACAUGG